ACGGUCAUAUCACAUUUAAACGCCGGUUUUCGUACGAUCACUGAAGUUAAGCAAUGUCGAGCCUGGUCAGUACCUAAAUGGCUGACCGCUUGGGAAUACCAAGUGCUGCAAG